rnacentral:lncRNA from 1 species
AUCCAAUGACAGGGAUCUGUAGCAGGGCCUUCCCAUUAACCAGUUUGUGUCCUCUUUUCUGAAACCCUCCUAGAUGGGUCCCUGUGACCUCUUCUUCAACAGCAGCGGCCGGAAGAACAACAGCUGCUGUUCAUAAACAUUGCUUUACACCUCCUGUCAACCAUUGGAAUUUGUCGCUGCUUUGUUUUGAGUCUGGAACCCCAGCCCAUGAAACGUACUGCGCCAAUGGAUUGUCCUACCUGGGAUGGCAUCGUGCUCUCGGAUGCACUAGUAUCUGAUUUCCUCUCUGUAUCGGCUGCUUUCGUAUUCAACCAAAGGAUCUGACAGAAACAGCCUAAGAAGGAAAGUUUAUUUCGACUCCUGGUUUCAGAGUGGGGCAGACAUGUGAGAGCCCACCGCAGCCGGAGCAUGUGAUGGAAGACCCUUCACGUCACAGUGGGCCAGGGCUAGAGGCUGGGCUAUCUUCUGAGGUCUGACUUAAAUGACCUCCUUCCGCUAGCAAAGCUCCACUUCCCAUUCCACAGCCUCCCAGGAUAGAACCACCACAUGGGGAAUGAGCUCUCAAAGCCUGAGCCUGUGGGGGCACUUCAGAGUCAAGCCGCAAUAUUCUACCACUGGACCCAAAGGCUCGUGGGCAUCUCGUGACUAGAGCUGCAUCGUGUCUAAUU